rnacentral:rRNA from 1 species
UACGAAGGGGGCUAGCGUUGCUCGGAAUCACUGGGCGUAAAGCGCACGUAGGCGGAUCUUUAAGUCAGGGGUGAAAUCCUGGAGCUCAACUCCAGAACUGCCUUUGAUACUGAGGAUCUUGAGUUCGGGAGAGGUGAGUGGAACUGCGAGUGUAGAGGUGAAAUUCGUAGAUAUUCGCAAGAACACCAGUGGCGAAGGCGGCUCACUGGCCCGGUACUGACGCUGAGGUGCGAAAGCGUGGGGAGCAAACAGG